rnacentral:rRNA from 1 species
CGGCGAGUGAAGCGGCAACAGCUCAAAUUUGAAAGCUGGCCCUUUCAGGGUCCGCGUUGUAAUUUGUAGAGGAUGAUUCGGCGAGGGCUCCCGCCUAAGUCCCCUGGAACGGGGCGUCAUAGAGGGUGAGAAUCCCGUAUGCGGUGGGCUGCCUUAGCCAUGUGAAUCUCCUUCGACGAGUCGAGUUGUUUGGGAAUGCAGCUCUAAAUGGGAGGUAAAUUUCUUCUAAAGCUAAAUACCGGCCAGAGACCGAUAGCGCACAAGUAGAGUGAUCGAAAGAUGAAAAGCACUUUGGAAAGAGAGUUAAAAAGUACGUGAAAUUGUUGAAAGGGAAGCGCUUGCAACCAGACUUGUCCGCAGUUGCUCAGCCGGUCUCCUGACCGGCGUACUCUUCUGCGGCCAGGCCAGCAUCAGUUCGGGCGGUCGGAUAAAGACCUCGGGAAUGUAGCUCCUCUCGGGGAGUGUUAUAGCCCGGGGUGGAAUGCGGCCAGCCUGGACUGAGGAUCUCGCUUCGGCAAGGAUGCUGGCGUAAUGGUUGUAAGCGGC